AGGAUGAACGCUGGCGGCGUGCUUAACACAUGCAAGUCGAACGAUGAAGCGGAGCUUGCUCUGUGGAUUAGUGGCGAACGGGUGAGUAACACGUGAGUAACCUGCCCUUGACUCUGGGAUAAGCACUGGAAACGGUGUCUAAUACCGGAUACGAGCUUCAGCCGCAUGGCUAGGAGUUGGAAAGAAUUUCGGUCAAGGAUGGACUCGCGGCCUAUCAGGUAGUUGGUGAGGUAAUGGCCCACCAAGCCUACGACGGGUAGCCGGCCUGAGAGGGUGACCGGCCACACUGGGACUGAGACACGGCCCAGACUCCUACGGGAGGCAGCAGUGGGGAAUAUUGCACAAUGGGCGCAAGCCUGAUGCAGCAACGCCGCGUGAGGGACGACGGCCUUCGGGUUGUAACCUCUUUAGUAGGAAGAAGCGAAAGUGACGGUACCUGCAGAAAAGCACCGGCUAACUACGCGCCAGCAGCCGCGGU
rnacentral:rRNA from 1 species